CCUACGGGAGGCAGCAGUGGGGAAUCUUGCACAAUGGAGGAAACUCUGAUGCAGCGAUGCCGCGUGAGUGAAGAAGGCCUUGGGUUGUAAAGCUCUUUUGUAGGGAAGAUAAUGACUGUACCCUAGAUAGUCGUCG
rnacentral:rRNA from 1 species